rnacentral:rRNA from 1 species
GACGAACGCUGGCGGCGUGCUUAACACAUGCAAGUCGAACGGAAAGGCCCUGCUUUUGUGGGGUGCUCGAGUGGCGAACGGGUGAGUAACACGUGAGUAACCUGCCCUUGACUUUGGGAUAACUUCAGGAAACUGGGGCUAAUACCGGAUAGGAGCUCCUGCUGCAUGGUGGGGGUUGGAAAGUUUCGGCGGUUGGGGAUGGACUCGCGGCUUAUCAGCUUGAUGGUGGGGUAGUGGCUUACCAAGGCUUUGACGGGUAGCCGGCCUGAGAGGGUGACCAGCCACAUUGGGACUGAGAUACGGCCCAGACUCCUACGGGAGGCAGCAGUGGGGAAUAUUGCACAAUGGGCGGAAGCCUGAUGCAGCAACGCCGCGUGCGGGAUGACGGCCUUCGGGUGGUAAACCGCUUUCGCCUGUGACGAAGCGUGAGUGACGGUAAUGGGUAAAGAAGCACCGGCUAACUACGUG